UGCGGGUUCGUCUAAUGGUAGGACGCAUCCCUCUGGAGGAUGAUAUUGGGGUUCGAGUCCCUGACCCGCAG
rnacentral:tRNA from 1 species